UACGUAGGUGGCGAGCGUUGUCCGGAUUUAUUGGGUUUAAAGGGUGCGUAGGCGGUCCUAUAAGUCAGUGGUGAAAUAUCGCAGCUCAACUGUGAGGGUGCCAUUGAUACUGUAGGACUUGAGUGAAUUUGAGGUAGGCGGAAUUGACGGUGUAGCGGUGAAAUGCCUAGAUAUCGUCAAGAACACCGAUAGUGAAGACAGCUUACCAAGCUUCAACUGACGCUGAGGCACGAAAGUGUGGGGAUCAAACAGG
rnacentral:rRNA from 1 species